rnacentral:rRNA from 1 species
GGGGAAUAUUGGGCAAUGGGGGAAACCCUGACCCAGCAACGCCGCGUGAAGGAAGAAGGCUUUCGGGUUGUAAACUUCUUUUACCAGGGACGAAGGACGUGACGGUACCUGGAGAAAAAGCCACGGCUAACUACGUGCCAGCAGCCGCGGUAAUACGUAGGCGGCAAGCGUUGUCCGGAUUUACUGGGUGUAAAGGGCGUGUAGGCGGAGAAGCAAGUCAGAAGUGAAAUCCAUGGGCUUAACCCAUGAACUGCUUUUGAAACUGUUUCCCUUGAGUAUCGGAGAGGCAGGCGGAAUUCCUAGUGUAGCGGUGAAAUGCGUAGAUAUUAGGAGGAACACCAGUGGCGAAGGCGGCCUGCUGGACGACAACUGACGCUGAGGCGCGAAAGCGUGGGGAGCAAAC